rnacentral:rRNA from 1 species
GGCUCAGGAUAAACGCUGGCGGCGCACAUAAGACAUGCAAGUCGAACGGACUUAAUCGAUUCUUUUAGAUUCGAAGCGGUUAGUGGCGGACUGGUGAGUAACACGUAAGCAACCUGCCUAUUAGAGGGGAAUAACAGUGAGAAAUCACUGCUAAAACCGCAUAUGCCGUGAACAUCGCAUGAUGAAAACGGGAAAAGAGCAAUCUGCUAAUAGAUGGGCUUGCGUCUGAUUAGCUAGUUGGUGUGGUAAUGGCAUACCAAGGCAACGAUCAGUAGCCGGACUGAGAGGUUGAACGGCCACAUUGGGACUGAGAUACGGCCCAGACUCCUACGGGAGGCAGCAGUCGGGAAUAUUGCGCAAUGGAGGAAACUCUGACGCAGUGACGCCGCGUAUGGGAAGAAGGUUUUCGGAUUGUAAACCAUUUUAGACAAGGAAGAAACAAGACAGUACUUGUAGAAUAAGCUCCGGCUAACUACGUGCCAGCAGCCGCGGUAAUACGUAGGGAGCAAGCGUUAUCCGGAUUUAUUGGGUGUAAAGGGUGCGUAGACGGGAAGGUAAGUUAGUUGUGAAAUCCCUCGGCUCAACUGAGGAACUGCGACUAAAACUGCUUUUCUUGAGUGCUGGAGAGGAAAGUGGAAUUCCUAGUGUAGCGGUGAAAUGCGUAGAUAUUAGGAGGAACACCAGUGGCGAAGGCGACUUUCUGGACAGUAACUGACGUUGAGGCACGAAAGUGUGGGGAGCAAACAGGAUUAGAUACCCUGGUAGUCCACACCGUAAACGAUGGAUACUAGGUGUAGGGGAUAUUAAGUCUUCUGUGCCGUCGCAAACGCAGUAAGUAUCCCACCUGGGGAGUACGGCCGCAAGGUUGAAACUCAAAGGAAUUGACGGGGGCCCGCACAAGCAGUGGAGUAU